rnacentral:rRNA from 1 species
UCUNGCNACUCCCAACCCUUGUGUACCAUACCAAACACUGUUCUCGUUGCCUCCUGGCGGCGGGGGCGCAGCCCCUCCCUCGCGGGGGUGGCGGCGCCCCCCCGCCAGGGGCGGCGAGCACCCCGAACCUUUUCUAAAACAGCACAAGAGCGCCCGUCUGAGCAAACAAAAAACAAAUUAUCAAAACUUUCAACAAUGGAUCUCUUGGCUCUGGCAUCGAUGAAGAACGCAGCGAAAUGCGAUACGUAAUGUGAAUUGCAGAAUUCAGCGAACCAUCGAAUCUUUGAACGCACAUUGCGCCUGCCAGCACUCUGGCAGGCAUGCCUGUCCGAGCGUCAUUUCUCCCCUCAGCGCGCCCUGUCGCGCUGGUGUUGGGGCACCUCCGCCUGGCGGAGGGCCCCCAAAGCCAGUGGCGGACCCGGCUGUCGGCUCCGAGCGCAGUACUGAACCCAGCGUUCUCCUCUUCGCUCUGCAGCCCCGGCCGGUGCCCUGCCGUUAAACCCCCCCUUUUUUACAAGGUU